CCAUGCUCACAGGAAGGGUCCACUUAUUCCGCAGUGCCCCCCGUCAGCCUCCAGGCCAAGCAGUAGGGUCUGCUGUAAAUCCAUCCUGGAAAUUGGCAGCAUUGUCCUUGGAUGUUCCAGCUGUGGAUGUGUCUGUGUGGUGUCCCUGGAUGAUGGGUGUAUGGCAGGGUGAGUGAUUACAGCAGUUGGGGUGUGGGUGCUAUAAAGGAGACAGAUUAAUAUUGUGCUGUAGUUCUACAAUGUGCAUGAAGCAGAUUAUACCCCGAAAAGAUCUGCAGAGCUGACUUGUACUGUAGGUACUGUGCUAGGAAGGCGCUGAUGUGGGUGUGUGUGCUUAUAGUGUGUAUUCCAUCUAUACUAUGAGUCAGAGCCUGUGAUAUACCUGUAUAUGUGUGUGUCAGUCGGUGCUGCUCUGCAGACGCUGUGAUAUACCUGUAUAUAGUGUCCUGCUCUGCAGAGCCUGUGAUAUACCAGUAUAUAGUGUCCUGCGGUGCAGAGCCUGUGCUUUACCAGUAUAUAGUAUCCUGCAGUG